AAUUAAUGGAUUGAAGGGUGGUGUUAAAAAAAUUGUUUGGGCCUGAGCCCAAGCUUCCAAUAACCAACUCGAGUUCACCAUCCUAACACACACACCAAAGCUACAUUCCCCUCAUGUCAAAAUCCCCAGUCAACACAGAAACACUCACGCUCAACAUCAACGUGUGCAAACAACUUCUUAAUCACUGAGGAAAAACUUAAGAACUUGAUUCCACCCUCCAUCGAAGAACCGAGAACGAUAACCAAAUCCGCAUGGAAGCUCAACAUCAAAACGAAAUCAUCGAAAUUGAAUUUGUUAUACUUGUUCUUGCGCGUGAAAUGAAAGAAGUGGAAGAGAUGGAUGACCUACCAGAUUCACGUUUUGACACGGUGGCUCAGGUGAUGUAUUUCUCUCCUCUUUCCUUCUUCGCUUCGUCCACUUCGAUCUUCUUCUUCUAUAUGUGUAUUGUAGUGAGUUAUGUGAAAAUUGGUGAGGUUUGUGUGUGAUAUUGAGUUGCGCUGCAGAUGACUUAUGGAAUUGAAAACAAGAUGAUGUAUGGUGCGGUUCGAUUUGUAGGGGAUGGUUCAGGAAGAUUGAAGAGGAUGAAGUGAGAAUUAUGGAAGAUUGAAGAAGAAGUUCCAAUGGUGGUUCUCUCAAAGAAUUGAAAAAGAAAGAGGGGGGGAAAGAGAUUCUGCAAAAAAAAUGGCCAAGAAGACUUCACCCUGCAUUUUGGUUGGCUUCAUGGACUUGCGUUUUGCUUCUGCUAUUGCUGCAUUUUACUUCUGCCGCGUUUCAUUGCGUUUCCGUUUGCGUUUGACUUGCGGUGAGGAUUGAAUUGGCUUGCCGUGCGUUUGUUUUAGAUUUGUCCUGCGCUUGGAUACUGGUACGGAUGUGGGAUGGUUAAUUGUUUUGGAUAAUGGAUAUUGAUAAUGGUAAAUGGGGUUGGAUAUUAAAAUUGCAUUAGAAUUGGAUAAAUGGACAUUGGGAUAUGGAUAAUUGAAUUACAAAUUGGCUAUUUGAAUA